UACCAGCACCCCGAGUGGUCGGGACGAUUAUUGGGCCUAAAGCAUCCGUAGCCGGUUCUACAAGUCCUCCGUUAAAUCCACCUGCUUAACAGAUGGGCUGCGGAGGAUACUAUAGAGCUAGGAGGCGGGAGAGGCAAGCGGUACUCAGUGGGUAGGGGUAAAAUCCGUUGAUCCAUUGAAGACCACCAGUGGCGAAGGCGGCUUGCCAAGAAUGCGCUCGGACGGUGAGGGAUGAAAGCUGGGGGAGCAAACCGG
rnacentral:rRNA from 1 species